UACAGAGGGUGCAAGCGUUGUUCGGAAUUAUUGGGCGUAAAGGGCGCGUAGGCGGUGCCACAAGUCACCUGUGAAAUCUCCGGGCUUAACUCGGAGCCUGCAGGCGAAACUGUGGUGCUGGAGUGUGGGAGAGGUGCGUGGAAUUCCCGGUGUAGCGGUGAAAUUCGUAGAUAUUGGGAAGAACACCGGAGGCGAAGGCGGCUUGCUGGGCUUGGUCUGACGCUGAGGCGCGAAAGCGUGGGGAGCGAACAGG
rnacentral:rRNA from 1 species